rnacentral:lncRNA from 1 species
UUAGGGAGGUACCAUUUGAUUUUUAUGGGGGGGGGGGCUAGGAUGAAAUUUGAAAAAAAUAGGCAGGACAGGAGUUUUGAGUAAAAAAAAAAGGCAGGAUGAGACACUUGCAAAAAAAAAAAGUCAGGACGACAAUUUAGGUAAAAAAAAGUCAGGAUAAACUAAAAAAAAAAAAGGCAGGACCGAACAGAGUGAAAAAAAAAAGGCAGGACAGAGAUUACAGCUAAAAAAAAAUGCAGGACAAAAUUUUUCAUCCUAGCCCCCCCCCCCCAUAAAAAUCAAAUGGUAGCUCCCU